CAGCCGCCACGGUAAUACGUAGGUGGCAAGCGUUGUCCGGAAUUAUUGGGCGUAAAGGGCUCGCAGGCGGUUUCUUAAGUCUGAUGUGAAAGCCCCCGGCUCAACCGGGGAGGGUCAUUGGAAACUGGGAAACUUGAGUGCAGAAGAGGAGAGUGGAAUUCCACGUGUAGCGGUGAAAUGCGUAGAGAUGUGGAGGAACACCAGUGGCGAAGGCGACUCUCUGGUCUGUAACUGACGCUGAGGAGCGAAAGCGUGGGGGGCGAACAGGAUUAGAUACCCCUGUAGUCCCUGUCUCUUAUAC
rnacentral:rRNA from 1 species